rnacentral:rRNA from 1 species
AGUACGGUGGUACGGACAUGGCCCACAGAGGGUGAAAGGCCCGUGGGGGUGGAGAUCAGGCAGGCCAGUGCCUCUCUGGGUAGACCUUGGAGUCGGGUUGUUUGUGAAUGCAGCCCAAAGUGGGUGGUAAACUCCAUCCAAGGCUAAAUACUUGCACGAGUCCGAUAGCGAACAAGUACCGUGAGGGAAAGUUGAAAAGUACUUUGAAGAGAGAGUAAACAGUGCGUGAAACCGCUCAGAGGUAAGCGGGUGGAGUUGAACUGCAAGCUUUGAGAAUUCAGCUGGUGAGUAUGGUUUGAGCUUGGUCAAGUUUGGCUGGAUAUUGAGGUCUGCGUAGUGGCAGGUUCUAGUCCCUCGGGGCAGGAUGCGCGAUACACUUAUCAAGUGUUGUGCGCCUCAGUAUUAUUCGGGCCUACUCGCCAGUGCACUUUCUCAGAGUGUUCACCACGACCGGCACUGCUGUCUGGCUGUAGUGGUUAAACCGGGCUUACAUCGUCCUUGUGGCUUUGCAUGUUCGGGAAGGCAGGUGGCACGUUGGCUUGCUUGUAGUUUACUGCAGGCAUUUGGUCUUCGUGUGUAAUCAGCUGACCACAACAGUUCUGUGCAGUGUGUCGGGGCUAGCGGCUUGUGGUACUUGCGUGCGUGCUUGUUCUGCUGGCGAGUCCGGGUUUGGUUAUCAUGUUGCCUGCAAGUGCAGGCCUGGGAAUGGCUCGGAUUCGUCCAGUGGGCGGUUGCGUACGUGGUGC